GCUUUCAGUUGGUUCAGUUAGUAGAGCAUUGCACUAACAAUGCAAAGGUCAUGGAUUCAAAUCCCAGGGAAAGCA